rnacentral:rRNA from 1 species
GACGAGGGGUCCUAGCGUUGUUCGGAAUAACUGGGCGUAAAGCGUAUGUAGGCGGGCUUCUAAGUCAGGUGUGAAAUCCCAUGGCUCAACCAUGGAAUUGCAUUUGAAACUGGAAGUCUUGAGUGUGGGAGAGAUUGGUAGAAUACCUGGUGUAGUGGUGAAAUACGUAGAUAUCAGGUGGAAUACCGGUGGCGAAGGCGGCCAAUUGGCCCAACACUGACGCUGAGAUACGAAAGCGUGGGGAUCAAACAGG